GACCUCCCAAUGCUUACCACAGGCUGUGUUCUUUACACUGACUGUAUAGAAAGAGAAGGUACAGUAAAUGCACCCCACCUCAGCCCAAGUCCUUUGCCUGGUCUGUAUUGUGAAUGGGGGGACAAAA